rnacentral:lncRNA from 1 species
CCCUACCAGAAAAUUUAGGUAGAUCUGUUCUUCCCUUCUCCAGAUGAUUGGGUUUUGCUGCUAGGGCUGAUCCGUCCACUAUUUGUGGUUCAAGCAUAACACUCCUUCGACUUUCUUCUGCUCGAAUCAGUGAGAUUGUUUCUUCUAGAGACAGUGUGUCCUCCUUGCCAAGGAUUUGAAUCCUAACCUGAUCAAAUUCAGGAUUAAUCCAGCAAAAAAAUCAUAGACCCGGUUCCUUUCAAUGAAACUCUUCAAGAUAGCAGCGUCUCCAGAGCAUUUCAUCUCGAAAACUCAGUAAUGAUCGAGUUCUUGCCAUAGAUAUUGCAGUAAAUUUGCAUACUCAGUGACAGAUUUGUUCCCUUACUCAAUGGCUAUUGUUUUAACAUUGAUCUCAUAUACUUGAGCAGUGUCGUGGGCCUUUGAAUAUGUGCUACGGAUGAACUCCCAAAUCUCCUUUGCAGUAGAGAGAAACAUGCACGUGUCACUGAUCAUGGGGUCCAUAGAUUCCCAUAGCCAAGACAUUUAUCAUGGAAUCCUCCUCAUCCCAUGUUCCAAAUGUCGGAUCAUCUAUUGCCGGUCUUGCUCCAAGAAGAUGGUUGAGUCUCCCUUUGCCCUUGAGGUAUGUUCGGACAAAUUGAGACCACUUGAGGUAGUUGUCCCCAUUGAGCCUAUAAGGGGCCCGAAAAUUCUGUAGAUCUCCAAUUUUCUGAACAGAAUUGAACUCAUUGGCUAGAUUGGGAUUGCUAGAGAUGGUGGCUUCAGUGGUUUUGGUGUUUUGGGAGGCUAACAUAGUGAAGGAAGGAGAUUUGCAGCAAUUAAGUUUGCCCUAUCAAGAAUUAGAGACUGGAGAGAAGGAAUAGCAUCGAUAAAGGCUGCGCGGAGAAGAAGAAAGAAAAAUUCCAGAGAAAAAAAAACUAGGAAGCAGCAAUGAAAGCUGCACGAAGUCAAGAAAUAAAUCCCAGAAAAAGCCCUAGGGCUCUGAUACCAUGACGUGAAUAAUUAAUGGAAUAAUCCUCUUAUUUCACCUUUGAUAAUACAUGGUAAUAUAUGGGAGAUUACAAGAGAAAAGAAAGGAAACUAAAUCAAGGAAAAAAUCAAGAAUCUAAAUCAGGAAAGUUGCCUAACUAAAUCCCUCAAUUUAAGGGAUUUCAACUAAUUCUCCUAUUCUAAUAUCUACACUUUGACAGACUUUGACUGGUGUAAUGUUGUCCAUCCCAUAAAUGGCCCAAAAAUGAUAAUUGUUAUUAUAUUAUGUUAAUCCAACAUUCUCCCACUUGGACUACAUAAUUUUAACACAAAUGCUUUCAUAGCAACAUACACAGCUAAAACUAAUCACACAUAACCAACACACCGAUAGAAUGCAUAGGAUAUAUAUAAUUAGGCGCUACUAAUCCAGAAGCAUUACAAUAACAUUAAUAUCAUCAUUUUGUCACUCUUCAAAUCACAAAGAUACAUGGUAUCAUAAAAUAGUGACAUACAUCCAUAAUAUGCAUGAAUUACACCAAAAAUUAAAGCAAUCCUCGUAAAACAUACAAAGAACGGCAAACUCCAACUAAAACAAAGAAAUUAGGCUCCCAACAAUCCCAUACGGGAGACGUGUUCUUGAAACACAUAAAUAGGUAAGCCUUUAGUUGAUGGGUCCGCCAACAUGCUGCUCGUAGGCGUAUGCUCAAUAGUAAUGAAGGACUCUGCAACUUUCUCUUUGAUAAAGUAGAACUUGAUAUCAAUAUAUUUGAAGCGAGAAGUGCUCCUAGUGUUUCGAGAGAAAGACACGACUGCGGAAUUAUGACAAUAUAAUUUCAGCUAUCUCGAAAUAGAGUCCAUAACUCUUAAUGCUGAAAUGAAGUUCUGUGGCCACAUUGCAUGACAAGUAGCCUCAUAACACGCCACAUACUCUGCCUCCAUGGUCGAAGAAGCUGUAAGUGUCUGUUUAACACUUUCCACGAAACAGCUCCUCCUUCCAUCAUAAAGAUGUACCCAGAAGUGGAUUUCUUAUCAUCUACACAGCCUGCAUAAUCGGAAUCAUUGAAACCAACUACUUCAAGAGUGUCAGUACGCCGAUAUGUCAACAUGAGAUUCUUGGCACCUUGAAGGUACCUCAAAACUUUCUUAGCCGCUUUCCAGUGGCUUUGACUAGGAUCGUUCAAGUAUUUACCAAGCAUACUAACCACAAAGGUAAUAUCAGGACGUGUGCAUACUUGAGCAUACAUUAAACUGCCAACAACAAAAGCACAAAGGACUGUUUUCAUCUGAUCUCUCUCAACAUCAUUUUGAGGACACUAUGCCUUUGAGAACUUAUCAUCCUUCACAAUUGGAGUCUUCAAAAAAGAACAAGAUUGCAUAUUGAACCUCUUCAAGAUACGAUCAAUGUAAGUACGUUGAGAUAAUUUGAGAAUACCAUUGGCCCUAUCACGAAGAAUCUGUAUGCCCAAGACAUAUGAUGCUACACUAAGGUCUUUCAUGUCAAAAUGGCCAAACAAUAGUUAUUUUGUCUCAAUCAAUAAGUCAGUGUCAUUAGCAGCGAGCAAGAUAUCAUCAACAUACAAGACUAAAAUUAUGUACUUGCUUCCACUGACCUUCAUGUAUAUACAUUGAUCAACAACAUUUUCCUUGAAACCGUUAGCGGUGAUAAUUUCAUCAAACUUGAGAUACCAUUGCCUUGAAACUUGUUUCAACCCAUAAAUUGACUUCUGGAGCUUACAAACCAUGUUUUCUUUUCCAACUACCUCAAAACCAAUAGGUUGAGUCAUAUAGACAUCUUCACUUAAAUCUCCAUUCAAGAAAGUCAUUUUUACAUUCAUUUGAUGAAGUUCCAAGUCAAAAUGUACCACAAUUGCCAUAAUGAUUCGUAAAGAAUCUUUAGUCGAAACAAGUAAAAUGGUUUCCUUGUAAUCAAUACCUUCUGGUUGGCUAUAACUUCUAGCCACUAGCCUUGCUUUAUGUCUUUCCACUUGACCUUUGGCAUCACGUUUGGUUUUGAAUACCCAUUUGUAGCCAAGAUGUCUACAAAAUUUUGGUAAUUCUACCAAGCUCCAUACUUCAUUUUGUGACAUAGAGUUUAUCUCAUCAUUCAUAACAUUUAUCCAAAAAUUGGAUUGAGGACUAAUCAUAGGGUCAAUUGUUGGAGUGGAAGCGACAGGCACAGGGACAAUAUCUGGGUAUUGUCUGAACACAAUUUCUCUAAGCCCUUAGCUUAUACCAAUGUCAUCCUCGAAAUAGAUUGCUUGAUCUGAUUCAAUAACUUUAGUAGUAUGCGAUGGAUAGUAGAACCUAGAUCCCCUCGACUCCACACAAUAACCAAUAAAGUAGCCGCUGACGGUCUUAAGGUCAAGUUUCUUGGAUUGCAGAUUGUAGGGUCUUACUUUUGCUUUACAACCCCAAAUAUGAAAAUGAUGCAAAGUGGGUUUUUUCUGUGACCACAACUCAUAAGGAGUCUUAGGAACAGACUUACUAGGCACCUUAUUCAAAAUAUAAGCUGCAGUUCUCAAAGCAUCACCCCAUAGGAACUCGGGCAAGUAGGACUUAGCCAACAUACAUCGCACCAUGUCAAGAAGUGUGCGAUUCCUUCUUUCCACAACUUCAUUUUGCUGAAGUGUACCAAGCAUUAUAUAUUGAGCAUCAAUGUUACAUUCCUGUAGGUACCUUGCAAAAGGUCCGGAGUUCCGUCCCGUUUCAUCAUAUCUUUCAUAAUACUCACCUCUAUCAGAACAAACCAUUUUGAUCAUUUUCCCUUGUUGAAGCUCUACCUUUGUUUUGAAGGCUUUAAAGGCCUCCAAAGAAUCAGAUUUCUCACGAAUAAGCUCAACAAAAUCAUAAUCAGAAAAAUCGUCAAUAAAAGUGAUAAAGUAUUUGUAACCACCCAUAGCUGGAAGAGUGAAAGGCCCACAAAUGUCGGUAUGGAUUAACCCAAGUAAUUUUGUGCACCUGUUAACUUUGUUGUUUCUGACCUUGGCAAUCAAUUUUCCUUUUAUGCAAUCAACACAAGUGUCAAAGUCUGAGAAGUCAAGAUCCUGCAAAAUCCCAUCCUUUAUCAAUCUUUCCAUUCAUUGCCUAGAAAUAUGGCCUAAUCGCUUGUGCCAUAGAAUGAAAGAUUAUUCAUCCAAUCUUGACAUUUUUGUUGUAGCAACAAUAUUAAGAGAAGAAGUAAUAAGAGACACAUCCACCAAAUCAAGUUUAUAAAGAUUACCACAUAAAGUUUCAUUUCCAAUCAAAACAGAGUCAUGGUACAAUAUAACUUUUUCAGUUCCAAAAAGAAAACUGUAACCAGUUCUAUCUAAAAUAGACACAGAAUUAAAUUCCUCCUAAUCGAAUAUAUAUAUGCAACUCCAAAAUAUGUCCAGUGGUAAGCUGUAAUUUGACUGUCCCCAAGAAUUCAACUUCAAUUCUUGUACCGUUUCCCAUAUAUACAUGGUGCUCCAUUCUAGUUGGUUCCCUUCUACUUGUUAUCUCCUGCAAGGAAUUGGUAACAUGAAUCGUAGCACCGGUGUCUAACCACCAAGUAUUAGAAGGCACAUCAACAAUAUUUGACUCCAGGCAAACAUUUACCUUUCUGGCCUUGAGCUUUAGACAAUCUGCCUUCUUAUGUCCAAACUUCUGGCAGUAAUUGCAUUUUCCCUUAAAGCUCUCAUUCUUGGGAACAUUGAAAGCUAAGGGCGCUUCUUGCCCAUUCCCUUUAUUGCCCAUGUUCUGUUUUUUGAAGGACUUGUUGUUAUUGGUAUUCUUUUGUAGAGGCUUUCUUUUCUGACCAUUGUUGUUCUAAUUCGUUACCAUAGCCACACUUCUUGCCCUUCUUUUUCAUGUGAUCCUCUUCCUUGGCAAGAAUGGUAGUCAUCUCCUCUAUGGUCCAUUGUAACUAGACCUAAUGGAGUCAAAUUGUGAGGGAAGAGUCCCCAUAAUGAACCACACAAUGUAGCCCUCAUUAAGUUCCAUACCAGUUGCCUUGAUCAUGUGAUAACAGGCCACAAUCUUGUCAAUGUGCUCUCUAAUUCCACUGACACCAUCAUAAAUAGUGGAAUGUAGAGUGCUUAGAAGCUCAUUCUUCUCAUUCUUGGAGAACUUUUUGCACUUCUUGUUGAUAGCUUCUAGAAAAGCCUUAGCAGUCUUAGUCUUUGCAAUGCUAUCACAUAUAGAGUCCUCCAUGUGAUACCUCAUGAUCAUUAAACAACACAGAUUUGAAUACUCCCAGUCAUCAUAAAGCUUCUUUCCAUCAGUAGAAGUUUCAGCAGUGGGCUUAGGAGGAGAGUUCUCUCUCAAGGCUAAGUACAUCUUCAUUAUGGUAAGAUUCAUCAUGAGAGAUUCAACCCGUUGUUUGUGAUUAGUCCCAUUUAGCUUCAGAAUGGCAGAAAAUUGAUUGCCCAAAGCUGAAGAAAAACACAAGAGCGACAUUAAUAUGCAUGUGAAAGACAUGAUCAUGGUAUUCUUCAACUUUCUUAAAUGAUCCACAAAAGUGAUCAUCGAAUGCCAGAGUCUAUUGACUCAUUCACAGGUAAAAGUAAUACAUAUAGUAUCACAACCAAAUGCAUCAAUCAACUAUUGAUAGGAUAGUAAAAAAAUUGUGCCGGUUCAUAAUAUCUCAUGCAUUCUCUUCACCAAUCUAAGUAUCCUACCAAACAAUGAAGUCAUCCAUAGGAUAAUAUCAUUGCCCGUAUGGAUCUUAGUAUAAUGUCAUUAAGCGGAAGUAUAAACAACACAACAAUUCCAACAAUUUAUCAUGACUAGUCCCGCGAGAGGUGGGUACAUAGUCACUCCCAAAAGAAAAAAAAAAUCAAUAUAUAACAAAAAAUGAUAUAAUCAACAUGAAUAAAAUAUAUAGUCAUCUUAAAAAAAGAGUAUCAAUUUCUUUUCUCCAAUUGACAAAUGUGGAGUAAUAUCACAACAAGAAUCAUAAACACAUAAAGAAAAAAAAAACAAUUUUGCAAUGUAAGAUAUCAACCAACCAUUAAUUGGAGUCAAGGAUAUCUCUUAUUUAUUUCAUUAAAGUUUUUUUUUUUUUUUUUCCAAAAUUUCAUGAUAAGAAAAAGGUGAUCCGAUUGGAGUCAGAAUCUGUCAUUCCAAUCCUCAAGCCUAAACUCAUUGGGCACCUAGCCAACCUCAUUGGUAAUUUAUUUUCUUUCAUAUUCUAUGUGGGCCUUUUGAUUUAUCACGUGUUAGCUCUUGUCCUAUUUCAACUUACAUUGUUUAUGAAGAUAGCAGUGACAAGUCACAACUCGUGAUGUCCUUUACGUCUUUUUAUGUCUUUCCUCCAAUAAAUCACAAUUUUGCACAUGGAAAUUCUUUUUAAUCCUUUACAGAUUUUGAGAAAUUGAGACUUAUUUCUCUGGAGGUCUUUAGGAAUAAAAUUCGACAUAUGGGUAUUUUGUAGUGAUAAAUAAAAAAUGCAACAACACAGCCAUGAAAAUGAGUAGGAGGCUCUGAUACUAAUUGUUAAAUAUCAACAGAUUUGAUAAUUUAUUCUCAUAAUCAUAGCAUGUGAUGAACAAUAAUAAAAGAAAACAUACCUCUAAUGGUUGGCAAAACUUGAUUAGAAGUUAUGGGAGAUCAAUAAAGAACCAGCAGAUCUGAUAGAAAAUGAGACAAGGAGGCUAGGGUUCUUUUGAAUCCAAUUCUUCAAUCUUAUUCACAUUGUUCACACGCCAAAGAGAGUUUAUAUGUAUGUGUGUGUGUGUGUGUGUAUAUAUAUCUGAAAAACCCUUUUGGUGGCCGACAAGCCCAAUGGGUAAGCUUGGGCAAAAAAGAAGAAUGGACCCAAGGGUCCAAAGCAUGGCAAGUGAUGUAAUGUUGUCCAUCCCAUAAAUGGCCCAAAAAUGAUAAUUGUUAUUAUAUUAUGUUAGUCCAUAAAAUUAAUCCAACAAUAUUAUGUUUAUGAAUGCAAUGAAUUUGCUUAUGAAAAAUGACCACUUCUUUACUAUACUAGCAUACAAUUUUCACUCUCUUCAUUUAUCACCUUUUAAGUGAAUGAUAUUGCACGAUCUUGUAGGUCUUUCAAUUCAAAGUUCAAUUGCCUAAUCUUAUCUGCUUCGUUAAGAAAUGGCAUUAUGCUUUUUGCACUUGCAUAGAAAUUCUCAACAAAAAUGAAAUAGAUUGAUGUAAUCCGUGGAUGCAGUGAUCUAUACUUAAAUGUCUUUCGUUAACUGAUAUAUAAAAAAUGAAAUUUGUUUUCAUUCGGGCACAAUAAUAUGCAUCAUAGUGGAACUACUUUCAAACGGGAUUUUUUUUUUCGUUCCUUUCCCCCCUUGUCUAUAAUAGAGAUGUUUGGACUGACUUUUCUUUUACUCGUGUUACAGGUUCUUUUGGGGGGAAAUGCUAGCUUCGCUAUUUCAAGGCAUUAUAAACGUUUUGAUGUGUUUGUUGAUGUAGAAGCUAAUAAGGCUAGUAGGAAGUACGAAAGUGCUUCCAUUGACUUCCAUAUUGAUUUCUAAAAAAAAUUACACAGGAGAACACGCAGAGUAAUUUUUCAAACCAUGGGUUUCUAUUUUCUACGCAAGUAGAAAAAGCCUCUGAAAUAACAGUGCUUGUGAAGCCUCAUAGGGUAUAAAUAACCUAGGGAACAUGUCAAUCUUCGAAUUUAGCUUCAUCCAUGUGUCUCUGAUUUUUCAUUUUACUACUUUGAUCCAGUUGAGCUUUUUCACAUCAAUUUGCUUUCUUAUUUCAAAUUCAUUUAUUCAGAUUUGGAUAUUUCGCAAUCAGUUUGAGUAAAUAUUGAGCCGAAAAUGCAAUUCACGACAAUCCGACACAUUUAACACACUAACAUUACCUUCAAAAAUCCAACCCCGUGCAUUGCAUGGGAAAGUGAGUAGUGUUAAAUAAAAGAUGAGGAGAAUAAAUAUUUUUUGAAAAAAGAAAAGCUAAAAUAGAGAGCAAUACUGAAAUGCAUAAAAAAAUUAUUAUCUAAAUUUAAAGUGUUCUUUAUAAAUAGAGUAUCUUGGAGAUGCUCUAUUGUGUGUAUAUACAUGUAUAAUGUAGAAUUUUUUUUUUUCCCUUAAACAUUCAGGAGAAGUUCCUUUCUGAAGAAAAAGAAGAUUGCGUGAAAAGGUAAGUCUUUCAAUUCCAAAUUUAAUCUUGCAGUUCAUGCAAAUACUGGGAAAAUUAUGCAGUUGGACCUUUGGCAGCUUUAAACUUUAUUCUUAACUUGGAUUUUGAUUUUAAAACACUGUUUUUUACGUUGGUUUCAAAAUUUUCUAAAAUGAUUUCUGGUCAUUGCAAAAACAGUUUAUUAGGGUUUAUGGUAUAUAUUUCCUGCCUAUGAAAACUUUGUUGGCUUGUUUGAAAAUGUCUCAUGUGCACUAGGAUUGAAUGUUAUGGAAGAAAAUAAAGUUAAAAAUUUGUUUAUUAAUAUUUGUCUGGUAAUGCUUGCUAUUAAAAUUCUCAAAAUAUCAAGUAGCUAAAAGUUCUAUAAUCUGAGAAUUAUAUUCUGUAUUUUAUAGGUUUGGAGCAUUAUCUCCCCCAUCUGAAAUCAUUUUACUUUCUUUUUCAAUAGACUGAUAGGGGUUCAUACCAAGCACCCAAGGUGCAAAGCUUUCACCCGAGCUCACUCCCCACUGACAUGAAUAGCAAACCUGGCCAAAGAAUCACUAUUUCGAUUGAAGCUCUGCCUUUUUUUGUUGCAUUUCCACCAGAAAGGAAAGGUGAGGGGGGAGCCUCUACUCCUCUGGCACCUACUGGUACGUCAGGAUCCAAUUGGUGUGUACGCAAUUUUUUUCGAGCUAAAAAGUCCCAUUACGUUAUAACUUUGUGAUGUCAUGAUAUUGGUCUUCUGUUCAUUUGUAGUUAAUCCAAAGUUGAGUAUCCAAUUUAAAACUUCUUGCAAAAAGCAUCUGCUUUCUUUUACAUUAAAUUUCAUGUGUUUUGUUCAUUUUUAGUAGAAUUUAUUCUAGUUAUGAUGCCUGCAGUGCGGAUUAAAGCUAAAUCAGACACCGGAAAAACAGAAAGAAAUUGCUAUUUGCAGCCAAAAUACAGUGAGCUUUGAGGUGGUGACUAUCUAUUUAUUGGUCUACCUAAAAAUCCAGAAUGGCCGUUGGCAAUCUUAAUUUAUCAAGUUUCCAAUAAAUUCAGACUUCAGUUGAUCAUUUCCAGGAAAUAUGUUGAAAUCAAUAUUAUUUUUACUUUUAGAGAAUUACUUGGCAUAUGAUGAAUAGCAGUUUUGCUACAAUUAGUCACUUUGAGAGUUUUUUUUAUAGUGUGUGAGGAGGCACACAUUUUUGCCAUUGAUUUCAACAACACUUAAAACAAUCAAUGAUACACACAAUGUCAACAUUAGUGUACACUUUGAAUGUACAAAUGGCAUAUUAUGAUGAAUAAAUUUGCUGCAGAUUGAG